rnacentral:lncRNA from 1 species
GAGUAGUGGAAUGAUGGGUGAUCUAUCGGGAAGUGAUUCGCGAUAUUGUGUGAGUGAGACCAAAGCACGGAGAAAGAUCAUGUGGUGAUUGGAGGAUCAGUAAACAAUGGUUUCGAACCUUCUGAAAAAUUAACGCAUCAAUCCGUCGGAUGGAAUACGGCCUACGGGCCGAGUGAGCGGGCACGGGUAAUCUAUUAGCCGUGGGUAGUCUAGGUGUUACAGUAGUAUUGGGUGAAGGACACAACACAUGUAUACGUUGAGUAAUGACAGCGUAGUGU